AGGCACCGUGGCUACCCCUACCCCGGCAACAGGCAGUGUGGCUACCCCAACCCCGGUGACAGAUACUGCAGCUAAACCAGAGAACCAACCUGUGCCAAAAUCAGUUCGCUUAGUGAGAGAUGAAGAUGAACCAGGGUCAUUGCGAGAACAGGAGGAAGAGGCAGAACCUGAAAUAAUUACCCGAUCUCUAUCCGUGAGUGAGUUGCAUGACAUGCGAAAAGAUUUUAGCCGCCACCCAGGUGAGCACAUUGUUACCUGGCUGCUCCGAUGCUGGGAUAAUGGGGCUAGUAGUGUGGAAUUAGAGGGUAAGGAAGCCAAGCAGUUGGGAUCUCUGUCUAGGGAAGGGGGCAUCGACAAGGCGAUUGGGAGAAAAACACAAGUCCUCAGCCUCUGGAGGCGACUUCUGUUAAGUGUAAAGGAAAGAUACCCCUUCAAGGAUGAAGUUACAUGUCACCAAGGCAAGUGGACCACCAUGGAGAGAGGUAUCCAGUACCUGAGGGAAUUAGCCAUGCUGGAGGUGAUUUAUAAUGAUCCAGAAAAUGCGCAGUCACCCACAGA